AACGAACGCUGGCGGCAUGCCUAACACAUGCAAGUCGAACGAAGCCUUCGGGCUUAGUGGCGCACGGGUGCGUAGCGCGUGGGAAUCUGCCCCUUGCUUCGGAAUAACAGUUAGAAAUGACUGCUAAUACCGGAUGAUGUCUUCGGACCAAAGAUUUAUCGGCAAGGGAUGAGCCCGCGUAGGAUUAGGUAGUUGGUGGGGUAAAGGCCUACCAAGCCGACGAUCCUUAGCUGGUCUGAGGGGAUGAUCAGCCACACUGGGACUGAGACACGGCCCAGACUCCUACGGGAGGCAGCAGUGGGGAAUAUUGGACAAUGGGGGGAACCCUGAUCCAGCAAUGCCGCGUGAGUGAUGAAGGCCUUAGGGUUGUAAAGCUCUUUUACCAGGGAUGAUAAUGACAGUACCUGGAGAAUAAGCUCCGGCUAACUCCGUGCCAGCCGCCGCUGUAACAC
rnacentral:rRNA from 1 species